GAUUGAUUAUACAGCAGCAGAAGGAGCUCAGACUCACAGCUGAGAGAACGUCAGGGUGAGAGAGAGCACAAGCAAGGGAGACUGUACAUACUGUAGCAUCAGUAUGUGACUGCUGGUGUCUGACAACACCGGUAUCUUGCUCUUGAAGUGGACAACUUGCUGAGCUACCUUUUAGCAUUUGCAAGAGGAUACCAGCUCUUAACCAGUACAACUGAUAACAGACUGGACCUUGGAAUAGUUAAUUUUACUUAUAAUUGCAUCUCUUAUUGCUAUGCAUCUCUGAAGAAGCAGCUUAUUACAGAAGACAAUUCAUCCUGUCCCUGUAGUUCACAUAGCACUGAUAAGACGGAGUUUCAUCUUCCAGCUCUUCAACUUUCCAGGUACAGUUGUGCUGCCAGAAGGACAGUGCAUGGAAAAAACACUUCUGAGUGGUUUUCAGAAGCAGCAGCUUUUUCAUUUUGCAAACCUGCAUCUCUUGACUGUGUUGUGCCCAGGAUACCUUCCUAUGUCUCCACUCUUCAUACCCUGCAAGCUGCAGAAGAUUAUCUGUGUCAUAGAAUCAUAGAAUGGCCUGGGUUGAAAAGGGCC
ensembl:lncRNA